rnacentral:lncRNA from 1 species
UUAAAUAUUACUUUACCUCAAUUUGAAUAUGUGACCAUUUUUUUUUUUUGAUGAAAAACUGGCUAAUAUAUUAAUAAUCACGCGGCUCAGGCAAAGUUGAAAAGACAUAGUCAAAAAGACAGAUAAAUUAAAAGGCCCCAACUAAAAAGCCAACACACACCUAAAAAACAAUCAAAACCAAAACAAAAUAAGAAAAACCACCCUGAAUCAAAAACUGCAGCUAAUUUCAAAACCCAAUAUCAGCCAACGGACGUAUCGCUUCUCCUCCUGAAAAAGAUCUUGAGAUUAGGAAGAGAAGAGAACGAAGCUUUGAAUCCAUAACUGGAGGAGCGGUGAGUCUUCACCAUUUUCAAAGCUGAGUCAAGAAAAACCUUGGUAUUUAUGAUUCCAAGCCAAUCAAUCCAUCAUCGCCAUCGUCUUCACGGAAUCAGGAACUCCAUCUGACCAGACACCACAAGUCUGUUGCCUCCGGCCUUCCAGCGCGGAACGUUCCUAUUAAUUCUCCUGCCCAGUCUCUUGCUAAAACUGCUAUUGUAGCGAUUCGAAAUUCAUUUUGAAAAGAUGCAUCAAAAUUUAGUUUGAUGACUCCACAGUCAGGGGGUUGCCAAAACUCUUUUACCAUAGAUCUAAGAGAAGGGCGAAGACUCUCUUGAUUUAGGUUAAGAUCUUGAACAUAACCACGAAUAAAUCCCAACAGUUCCUGAAAAGAAAGUUUGACCCCUUCAUGAAUAAGUUUAUUUCUUCUAAACCAUAGGCUCCAUAAAGAGAUUGCCAUAACUUGUCUUUGUUGAUCAUCUGCAGUGGAAAAAGUAUGAAGAAAACGAUGCUUACAACACGACAGUUCAUCAAAUGACGGAAUCUUGAUCUGAAGCGAAGCCCACACAGACUGAAGAGUGCCACAAGACCACAUCAAAUGACUAGAAUCCUCGGGAUCUACUUUGCACAAAGGACAGACGACUUCUACAUUUAACAAUCGUCUCGCCAAAUUAUAAGAAUGAGGCAAUAGAUUAUUAAAAAGCCGUAUAGUUAGCAUCAUUAGGAAAUAUGAAAGUAUUUUUCUAUAACAGUUCUGUAGAUAGAACCCGAUACCCACUUUUCACUGUAUAUUCCCCAGAACCUUCAUGUUUCCAUACCAACAUGUCCUCCGAAUUAGCUCCAGAAAUAGGAAUGGAGAGCAUAAGCUCUGCUGUGCUUUCGUCAAAUAUUUUGUGGAUCAACUCAUUGUCCUAGGUAUUAGUGGCGGCCUUAAUUAAUUGAUUUGCAUGCAUCUAAGUAGGCAUAACCUUUUGGAUUAAUACUCUAUUGUUCUCCCUUCCAGGUAACCAAGGCUCACUUCAUAUAUUAAUUCGGGCACCACUACUAACACGCCGCACUAACCCAUCCGCAAUCAGCUCCCGAGCACUGCAUAUACUUCUCCAGGUAAACGAAGGGUAAGAUCUAAUAUUUUCUUAUAGUAUAUCUGAAGAUGGAUAAUAACGGGCUUUUAACACUUUAGCUAAAAGACAAUUAGGCUGGGAAAACAUGCGCCAAACUUGUUUUGCUAAUAGAGCCUUGCUAACAAAAACAGAUUUUUAAAACUCAUUCCACCAACGCAUUUCGGUCGACAUAAGAAAUCCCAAGUGCUCCAAUGUAUGCCCUUCAUAGUUUUAUUAUUUGUCCACCAAAACUUAUUCAUUAUGCCUUCAAGUUUAUGACAUAAAGACUUCGGCAUAAAGAAACACUGCAUAACAUAAAGAGGUAUGGCUUGUAGAACCGACUUAAAGAAAACCUCAUUCCCCCUAUAGAUAGAUAGCGCAAACUCUACCCUUCGACGCGUUUUCUGAACCUAUCAACAAAAUUAGCAAAAGCCCAAGUUUUCCUCCGGCCAACCAUCAUAGGCAAGCCUAAGUAUUUUUUUGGGCUUAAAGCCAUCCGAACCCCUAGCAAAUUAACUAUGUUUUCCUUGAUAGUGGAGUCCACAUUAGCUACAAAAUAAAUAAGGGAUUUAUCAAAAUUCACACGCUGCCCAGAAAUCAUUUCAUACUCCCGAAUCACAUCCCGAAUCACUCUAUCUCUUUCACAUAAAGCGUCGCCAAAAAGAAUACAACCAUAUGCAAAAAACAGAUGAGUAAGUGAAAAUCUUUCCCUACCAAUCGACGCCUCCCUCAUUCUUCCUUUCUGCUUGGCUUUAUUAAUAAAAGUGGAGAAACCUUCAGCACAAAUUACUGAGAGGGUUUCCUUGCCUUAGUCCUCUUGAAGGCGAAAACCACUCAUUGUUAGCCCCGUUAAGGCUCACAGAAUAAGAGAUGGAACAAACACAUCUCAUAACCAAAACUAUCCAAUCAGCAUGAAAACCCAAAUGAGUCAUCAUUCCCGCCAAGAAAUCCCAUUCGACGCGGUCAUACGCUUUAGUCAUAUCGAGUUUUAGCGCAAAGUUCCCCUUCUUGCCACUUUUCUUCAUUUUAAGAGAGUGAAUAACCUCAUAAGCAAUAAGCACAUUAUCCGAAAUAAGCCUUCCUAGGAUAAAAGUCCUUUGGGCUUCAUCAAUACAUUAUCCCAAAACAGUACUCAUUCUAUUCACCAAGGCUUUCGCGAUUAUUUUGUAAACAUCAUUACAAAGGCUUAUAGGUCUAAAUUGUAACAAAUUUUUUGGUUUUUCAACCUUAGGGAUCAAAACAAUACGUGUCUUAUUAAUAUAUCCCACUUCAGAUUUGCCAUUCAAAAUAGACAAACAAUAAGCAGUAAUAUCAGACCCAAUUAUAUGCCAUUACCUUUGAAAAAAUAUUGCGGGAAAUCCAUCAACUCUAAGUACAUUCAAAGGCGCCAUCAUCUUUACCGCCGAUUCAAUAUCUUCUUCAGUGAAUUGUUUAAUAAGAAAAUCAUUCAUGCUCUCAGUAACUAUUUUCUCUACUAAUUCAAAAACAUGCUCAUCAGAACCCAUCUCAAAAGCCGAAAAAAGGUUACUAAAAUAAUCAGCAGCAAGCUUCAAAAUCUCCUCAGUCGAAGAAAUCCUCCUACCGUUCCCAUUAUCAAGCUCAGAAAUUCUACCCCGUAACUGAUGUUGCACAGCUAUUUUAUGAAAGUAGCUAGUAUUACGAUCUCCAUUCUUUAGCCAAUUAACCCGAGCUCGUUGCUCCCAGAAUAAUUCCUCCUUAUCUGCCUCCAAAUUAAGCCCCACUUGGACAUUUGUAAUUUUCGCUAAAGUCUCGUCAGAGGGAUCUUGAUUAUAAUGAACAUUUAAUUUAUCUUCUAAAUCUACACGGUGUUUCAUUUCCUCUUUAAUUUUGGAUUUGUUUUAUCGUUGAAUCUGAUAACUCAAAUUCUCGAGCUUAAUCGGAACGCUUCCUGAAACAUCAGCCCACCAUUUUUUCACCAUCUCUUCAAAUGAGCUAUCUAAACACCAUUUGGCUUCGAAUUGAAAUAUUUUGUCAUUAUUAUCCUGCUCAUUCCAACUUUUCCUUAUAGUAUCCAAAAGAAUAGGGCAAUGAUCAGAAAAACAAUGACUCAGAUGAUCAACCUGAUAAUUAGGAAAAAGAUUUACCCAAUUCAACGUAACAACUCCACGGUCCAGACGUUCCCUUAUGUUUGCAUCUGAAAAUUUCUCUCGCUCCCAUGUGAACCAUCACCCAACAUAGCCUAAAUCAUUAAGCCUGCAAUCCUCCAGUGACAUUUGGAAAGCAUUUAUCUGGCGUUCUAAUCUAAGUUGACCACAUUUCUUCUCGAAAGAAUUGGCAAUCUCAUUGAAAUCCCCUAAAACAACCCAGGGGAUGGAUUAGUCAUGGCUUAAGUCUCUUAGUAAUUCCCAUGAUCUAUAUCUAUUCCUUCCGUCCGGAUUACCAUAAAAGCCCGUUAACCACCAAACAUCAUCACAUUCAUUAUCAUGAAUUUCAAAGCCAAUAUGAAAAGAAGAAAAACUUCUAAAGCUAACCAAAGAAUUACCUUUCCAACCCAAUGAUAGCCCCCCUCUUGACCCUACUGCUCCAAUGUCAAUCCUGUUCUCAAAACCGCACUUUAAUCUGACCAUUUCCAUCUUUUUUGAACGUAAUUUUGUUUCCAUAAGAAACAAAAUUCGGGGAGUAAUGGCUCGCAGCUUAUUUUUGAGCCUUUUUACAGUUCAUGGCCUUCCCAAACCACGAACGUUCCAUCUUAGUAUUUUCAUUGGGCUCGGCUGCUCUGCUCACCAGAACUAGCCGUUAAAUCAUGAUAACCACAUUUCGCAUUAAUACCCAAAGAAAUUAACAGGCCCGCCACAAUUCUCUACCACUUUUUUCCUUCCACAGCUGUUAUUGGGUCAUUUUCCUCUUCCACAACAAUUUCCAUGGGCCCAUUUACUAGCCCGUCAAUAUUCAAAGCACUAUUUCCCAAAUUGCGUCCAUUAUUAUUCCCAUUAAUGAAAUACUGUUAAUUGGGUCCUAAUGGGAUUAAAUUUGGAUUUGAUAUAUGUUUUCCAAAAUCUCUCCCAAUAAUCCGUCCAGAAUCAAUCUCACAAUUAAAGCUAUUGCAUUGAUUAGUACUUCCCAUAUUAUCAGCACAACAUUAUGACCCAUCAGCCUUACGCAACCACCUAAUUACCACCGUAUUCGACCUUCGUGGCACCGCACGCAACGAUAAAUCCCAUCCAAAACUAAUUUUGAUGGCUCAAUUCUUAAUCGGAAUGGACAGUAGCUCUUACCAUGCCCCAAUUUGCCACAAAUGAAGCAAAACAAACUUAACUUCUCAUAAACGAACAUAGCUUCCUCCAUUUUGAUCUUUUUUUUACGCUUCAACGGAGUCGUAACAUCCAGACAAACACGAAUGCGCAUAUGUGUUGCUUGCUCAAAAACGGAAUGAAGGCAUCAUAGUCUAAAAACUUCCCCAAGAAAUCACCAAAUUGCUUAGCCAUCGAUUCAGACAUCAACCUUGCAAGUAGUUCAUGAAUUUGAACCUAGAACUCAGUAGAGUUUAACACCAAAACUGACGAGUUUUCUCCUGGCUGAAUUCUUUGCAGUAAUAACAAAUGGCUAUUGAAGAACCACGAUGUACCAGAUAUCACCCUUUGGAUGUCAACCUUAUUGAAAAAUUAGAAGAGAUAUCGUUUGUUACCAAGGUCUGUUAUGCAAAUCCCUCCAAAAGGAUGCUAGAGAUCGGCCAUGGUAUUACGUAGAGAAGGAAAGUGAACGACACUAUCUGUUAAACAUUGCCCCACCAGACAAAACUGAAUUCUUCGAUCAUUCACCACUACUUAUCCUUGGAUCAUCUCCUCCUCUUCAUCCAAUAAACUCAAAUUAGCUAGCUCCUCAUCCAUAGUUUGUUCAAAGAAACCCCGAACCAAGAAAAAGCACUGAAUCGAGAAGAAGAGAAAAAAACAACACCAAAAACUAAAGAGAUAAAAAAGAAACCGUGUCAAAAGACAAACAGAGAAAACAUGUCAAAAGACAGACAACAAGUUUUUUUUUUUAAUAUUCAAAGUUCUAAUUUAAU